GGGUCAGUAGGUUGGUCGUGCCACCGGUACGUACUGGUCUCACUGAUUCCUCCUUCCUGAAGAACCGUAAUGCCAUUAAUUUGGUGUUGCGGGGAAACAGGACUGUUACUUUGGAAAAAUUAGAGUGUUUAAAGCAAGCUCACGCUUGAAUACAUUAGCAUGGAAUAAUGAAAUAGGACGAUCGAUCCUAUUUUGUUGGUUUCUAGGAUUGAGGUA
rnacentral:rRNA from 1 species